rnacentral:rRNA from 1 species
GACGAACGCUGGCGGCGUGCCUAAUACAUGCAAGUAGAACGCACAGUUUAUACCGUAGCUUGCUACACCAUAGACUGUGAGUUGCGAACGGGUGAGUAACGCGUAGGUAACCUGCCUGGUAGCGGGGGAUAACUAUUGGAAACGAUAGCUAAUACCGCAUAAUAUUAAUUAUUGCAUGAUAAUUGAUUGAAAGAUGCAAUUGCAUCACUACCAGAUGGACCUGCGUUGUAUUAGCUAGUAGGUGAGGUAACGGCUCACCUAGGCGACGAUACAUAGCCGACCUGAGAGGGUGAUCGGCCACACUGGGACUGAGACACGGCCCAGACUCCUACGGGAGGCAGCAGUAGGGAAUCUUCGGCAAUGGACGAAAGUCUGACCGAGCAACGCCGCGUGAGUGAAGAAGGUUUUCGGAUCGUAAAGCUCUGUUGUAAGAGAAGAACGGGUGUGAGAGUGGAAAGUUCACACUGUGACGGUAUCUUACCAGAAAGGGACGGCUAACUACGUGCCAGCAGCCGCGGUAAUACGUAGGUCCCGAGCGUUGUCCGGAUUUAUUGGGCGUAAAGCGAGCGCAGGCGGUUAGAUAAGUCUGAAGUUAAAGGCUGUGGCUUAACCAUAGUACGCUUUGGAAACUGUUUAACUUGAGUGCAGAAGGGGAGAGUGGAAUUCCAUGUGUAGCGGUGAAAUGCGUAGAUAUAUGGAGGAACACCGGUGGCGAAAGCGGCUCUCUGGUCUGUAACUGACGCUGAGGCUCGAAAGCGUGGGGAGCGAACAGG